CCUACGGGAGGCAGCAGUGAGGAAUAUUGGUCAAUGGACGAGAGUCUGAACCAGCCAAGUAGCGUGAAGGAUGACUGCCCUAUGGGUUGUAAACUUCUUUUAUAAAGGAAUAAAACGAGGCACGUGUGCCUUUUUGCAUGUACUUUAUGAAUAAGGAUCGGCUAACUCCGUGCCAGCAGCCGCGGUAAUACGGAGGAUCCGAGCGUUAUCCGGAUUUAUUGGGUUUAAAGGGAGCGUAGAUGGGUUGUUAAGUCAGUUGUGAAAGUUUGCGGCUCAACCGUAAAAUUGCAAUUGAUACUGGCAGUCGUGAGUACAGUUGAGGUAGGCGGAAUUCGUGGUGUAGCGGUGAAAUGCUGAGAUAUCACGAAGAACCCCGAUUGCGAAGGCAGCUUACUAAACUGUGACUGACAUUGAUGCUCGAAAGUGUGGGUAUCAAACAGGAUUAGAUACCCGGGUAGUC
rnacentral:rRNA from 1 species